rnacentral:misc_RNA from 1 species
AAAAUUGGAGGUGUGGGAUACAUUAACUGAUGCUGCAGUGUCUCGGAAGUAUGGGAAUGACAGGCAGAGGAGAUCUUAAGUUGUUAAACUAUUGAGUUAUGAUAAAUAUACAUGAAAAAUGUUCGGUUGUGUAGCUAGUUAAUUUUGGAAUCUUUUUUUUUACACAAACUUGGGCUUUGUCCUUCAAAUUUUGUAGCUGUUUUGAGUUUGUCACUUUCCAAUUCCCUGCAUUUUCUUGUGGCAGGGUAUACCUAAAGAUUUG